rnacentral:snRNA from 1 species
AUCGCUUCUCGGCCUUUUGGCUAAGAUCAAAGUGUAGUAUCUGUUCUUAUCAGCUUAAUAUCUGAUACGAGGACCAUGUGUCCUCUUCGAUAUUAAUCUUAUUUCUGUUAGGGGAUGGAUGUUCCGACGCUUGCGUUGGCUCUAUCGUGAGUUGGCCUGGUAUUGCAGUACCUCCAGGAAUCGGCUCSCCMUCC